UAAGGGUCUCACUUCAAUGCUUUAUUGAUCAUCUGGAUCUCUCCAUGCGGCCGAUUGGUUCUCUCUUGAGUUCUCGAGAAUGACAAAACAACCUUUAACCAGGAGUGAGAAGAAAUUUUUAGUUACGGACAAGUCAACUGAUCUCAUUGAGUGUACGUCACAGGCUCCAAAUUGUCACAGAAAGAGAAAGAGAAAAGUUUCAAGCCGGAUUGAUGAAAGUGCCAGUCAUAAAACAAAGCAAAAUAAAAUUGAAUUGAAGGCCAUGGACCAAAGAUCUGAUUCCACAGACUUGAUCUCACAAUUGCCUGAACACAUUAUCCAUCACAUCCUAUCUCUUCUUCGUUGUGGGAAAGAUGCAGCUCGAACCAGUAUUUUGUCCAAGAGGUGGAGAGAUAUAUGGGCUUCAUACUUGAUCUUGGAGUUUGAUCAACGCAAGUUCCAAAAGCAAGAGAGGAAAUUGUAUUAUCGCUCUAAGAGGCUCUAUCAAAGGAUCAAAAAGAGAAAAGAUGCAGCAAUAAAGAUGAAGAAUGAAAUGUUUCUGAAUUUUGUUGAUGGCACCCUGCAGAGCCGCAUUGAGCAAAAAUCUAGCAUACAGAAAUUCAUGCUUCAUUUAACCUCCUAUAAUUUGGAAUUAUCUGAUCUUUUGAAUCAGUGGAUAGGUACUACAACUAAAAGCAACAUACAAGAGUUAGAUCUCUAUAUCCCAAGCAAGAAAAAUAGUAGUUACUAUUUGCCUCAAACUGUCUUUACUGCUCGUACCUUAACUGCAUUAAGGAUUUCUGGCUGCAAGUUAGGAGCUUGCAAUUAUAUUAACAUGUCCAACUUGCAAAAGCUAUGUAUUCAAAAAAUCCACAUUGAUGAAGAGAUCAUUCAGAAUCUGAUUCUUGGUUGCCCUUUAAUUGAUGAUAUGAGGCUCAUAUACUGCAGUGGAUUGAAAACUUUGUUGCUUUCUAGUAAUAGACUUAAUAGAGUUGAUAUACAUUGUUGCCAUGGGCUGAAGAAAGUUGAAGUUAAAUCACCAAGUCUUCAAACAUUUUGGUAUCAUGGGAAGGGAUCUAUGCGCUGCAACAUCAACUUGGCCAUGUGUAAAUCUCUGAAAAGUUUGACUUUGGAGGAUGCCAACAUAACAGAUGAUUUACUUAAGAAUCAGCUUUCAAAUUUUCCUGUCCUUGAGCAACUGAUCUUAAGUAAUUGUGAUGCCUUGCAUUGUGUUACGAUUUCAAGUCAUCAACUAAAGACACUAGUCUUGAGAGGAUGUGAUGAGCUAAGGGAGGCCAAUAUUGAUACUCCAAAUCUUCUUUCAUUUGAGUAUAGGGGUUCGAAGAUACCCUUUUCUUCUUUGAACCCUUCUGGUUUGAGGGAGGCAAAGCUUUAUUUUGAACCUUCCACAUUGCAUAACGUUGAUGGUAGUGGGUUUUCUUUUAAUAAAUUGCAAAAUUUUCUUAGAAAGUUUGAUUGCUCUAAGGGCUUGAAAUUUAUUGUCCGCUCGAAAGAGGUAUCUUUCUUAUUCUGUCUCCUUUUAUUUUAUCAAUUAGAAGAUUAUGUGCUUGACAUUCUUACAAAAUUUUCCUUUUUACCUUACCUGUCAUGGUCUAUGAAGAAUAUUAUUGUUCAUGAAGAUCUGAGAGACAUCUUGGUUCCUCAAGUCUUUGAUCUUAAGCUUGAAAUUAUCAAAUCAUCAACGAGCUUGGAAGAUAUAUUAGAUAAUUUGUUGCGAACAUGGCAUCCAGAGACACUGACGAUAGUUUCAUCUACCACAAGUGAUUUCCCUGAGCAAGUAUAUAAGAAAAUGGUGGAUAGAGGAGAGGAGCCAAGCUGCUGCAAAUAUAACUCUCUGAACAACAAAUGUUGGCAGCAUUUUUUGAUGGAUGCCAACAUUGAGAACCUUGAUGAUACUGAAAUUGAAUCUGACUGGAUUACUUGGCUGAAGUCCUCUGCGACUAUGGUGAAUCAGUUGACUUGUUUGAGAUUAAAUUGGAAACAUCGAUAGACAUGUAAUUAAUUGGCUGGAUUGUCUGAUCAUUUGAAAUGAAAAUUUACAUAACAAUUUGAAGAUAUUACAGGAAUUCAACUUUAAUUGGUCACUCUUCUUGUUUUUACUGAUUAGACCUGUUUAUUUCAUGGGUUUAGGAUCUUGAAAUGCUUAAGCAUGUAAGUGAGCACUGAUUGUAGAGUGUGCUUUCACAUUCACUUCCCAUUUACAUAUUCUGAAGAACAGGUUGUUUCUGUAAUCACCUUUUGUGAAGUUGAAAAUUCACAUCACAAUUUGACAAUAGAUUUGAUUCUUCUCUAUGGAAG
rnacentral:misc_RNA from 1 species